UAUUGUGGGAGACCGUAUCGAAAGCUUUGCUAAAAUCAAGGUAUAUCACAGCCACUGACUUCCCCAUUUCCACACAGCCAGUCAUAGAAGCUCAUCAGAUUGGUCAGACAGGACUUGCCCUUCGUGAAUCCAUGUUGGCUAUUCCCGAUCACUUUCCCCUCUUCCGAGGGCUGCAAAAUCGAUUCCUUGAGGAUCCCCUCCAGGAUUUUUCCGGGGGUACGGCUGACGGGUCUGAGGCUGACUUCCCUUUUUUAAAGAUGGGUGCUAUAUUUGCCUUUUUCCAAUCAUCUGGGACCUCUCCCGAUCUCCACGAGUCUUCAAAGAUAGUGGCCAAAGGCCCCGCAAUAACGUCUGCCCACUCCCUCGGUACCCGCGGAUGCACUAAAUCUCGACCCACAGGCUUGGAGGCCCUGCCCUCGUACUCCGCAGCGCAUUGAUAAUCAAGGUUAAAGGGCCCUGGCGUGCCUCGGCCAGCUCCUUUCAAACUCUUGGAUUCCGCCCUGCACGCACACCCAACGCAAGCCCACGGAUGCAGCUACUGGUGAGAUUGCAGGGCUCCCGCAGCGAGUGAGGCCAUGGCCAGUGGACUGGGCCAAGAACCGCAACAGUGGAAGCAGACAGAUGUCGGGCCACCGCUCACUAGAGCCCAGCGUGGGCGGCUCCUCCAGCGGCGCAAGGUGAUGGAGCUGGGGCAGAGACACCCCCGCCCCCAAAUAAAAGUCAACGGACACAA